UGUUAGGCCUACAGUGUACUGAACCUAUGGUUAGAUGUUAGGCCUACAGUGUACUGGAUGGUUAGAUGUUAGGCCUACAGUGUACUGAACCUAUGGUUAGAUGUUAGGCCUACAAUGUACUGAACCUAUGGUUAGAUGUUAGGCCUACAGUGUACUGAACCUAUGGUUAGAUGUUAGGCCUACAAUGUACUGAACCUAUGGUUAGAUGUUAGGCCUACAGUGUACUGGACAUAUGGUUAGAUGUUAGGCCUACAGUGUACUGGAUGGUUAGAUGUUAGGUCUACAGUGUACUGGAUGGUUAGAUGUUAGGUCUACAGUGUACUGAACCUAUGGUUAGAUGUUAGGCCUACAGUGUACUGAACCUAUGGUUAGAUGUUAGGUCUACAGUGUACUGGAUGGUUAGAUGUUAGGUCUACAGUGUACUGAACCUAUGGUUAGAUGUUAGGCCUACAGUGUACUGAACCUAUGGUUAGAUGUUAGGCCUACAAUGUACUGAACCUAUGGUUAGAUGUUAGGUCUACAAUGUACUGGAUGGUUAGAUGUUAGGUCUACAGUGUACUGGAUGGUUAGAUGUUAGACCUACAGUGUACUGGAUGGUUAGAUGUUAGGCCUACAGUGUACUGGAUGGUUAGAUGUUAGGCCUACAGUGUACUGGAUGGUUAGAUGUUAGGUCUACAGUGUACUGGAUGGUUAGAUGUUAGGUCUACAGUGUACUGGAUGGUUAGAUGUUAGGUCUACAGUGUACUGGAUGGUUAGAUGUUAGGUCUACAGUGUACUGGAUGGUUAGAUGUUAGGUCUACAGUGUACUGGAUGGUUAGAUGUUAGGUCUACAGUGUACUGGAUGGUUAGAUGUUAGGUCUACAGUGUACUGGAUGGUUAGAUGUUAGGUCUACAGUGUACUGGAUGGUUAGAUGUUAGGUCUACAGUGUACUGGAUGGUUAGAUGUUAGGUCUACAGUGUACUGGAUGGUUAGAUGUUAGGUCUACAGUGUACUGGAUGGUUAGAUGUUAGGUCUACAGUGUACUGGAUGGUUAGAUGUUAGGUCUACAGUGUACUGGAUGGUUAGAUGUUAGGUCUACAGUGUACUGGAUGGUUAGAUGUUAGGUCUACAGUGUACUGGAUGGUUAGAUGUUAGGUCUACAGUGUACUGGAUGGUUAGAUGUUAGGUCUACAGUGUACUGGAUGGUUAGAUGUUAGGUCUACAGUGUACUGGAUGGUUAGAUGUUAGGUCUACAGUGUACUGGAUGGUUAGAUGUUAGGUCUACAGUGUACUGGAUGGUUAGAUGUUAGGUCUACAGUGUACUGGAUGGUUAGAUGUUAGGUCUACAGUGUACUGGAUGGUUAGAUGUUAGGUCUACAGUGUACUGGAUGGUUAGAUGUUAGGUCUACAGUGUACUGGAUGGUUAGAUGUU